GACGAACGCUGGCGGCGUGCUUAACACAUGCAGGUCGAACGGAAAGGCCCUGCUUGCAGGGUACUCGAGUGGCGAACGGGUGAGUAACACGUGGGUGAUCUGCCCUGCACUUCGGGAUAAGCUUGGGAAACUGGGUCUAAUACCGGAUAGGAGCCAUCUUUAGUGUGGUGGUUGGAAAGUUUUUUCGGUGUAGGAUGAGCUCGCGGCCUAUCAGCUUGUUGGUGGGGUAAUGGCCUACCAAGGCGGCGACGGGUAGCCGGCCUGAGAGGGUGUACGGCCACAUUGGGACUGAGAUACGGCCCAGACUCCUACGGGAGGCAGCAGUGGGGAAUAUUGCACAAUGGGCGCAAGCCUGAUGCAGCGACGCCGCGUGGGGGAUGAAGGCCUUCGGGUUGUAAACUCCUUUCGCUAGGGACGAAGCUUUGUUGUGACGGUACCUAGAUAAGAAGCACCGGCUAACUACGUG
rnacentral:rRNA from 1 species